AGGAAGCGGGUGCGCUGCGGUAGCUUUGAUGCAGCGCUUAUCUGCGACGUGGAGUGCCCUGAGCCCGUUCCAGGGAGGCGGCAGCGAAAGAUGUGCGUGGAAAAGUGCGGGCAUCGAGCGCCUCUAGGCUGCCCUGGAGCCUGGCUUUCCCAAAGAGGCUGUAGUGAAAGCCAGAUAAUGAGGCUGGACAAUGAAAGCUGCACAAAUUUGGGCCACUGCAGAAGCACAACAUGACAUGGGGAUUUUCUGCCCCUGGGAGCCUUCGUAUGACCAGGGACACAGGAAAAAGGUGAACAAACAAAAUGUCUUUCAAUGCCAUCCUAUGAUUUGCCAAAAAAUUCCCUGCAGUAAGAGAUGGAUCAAAAUCCCCAUCACUUCUGAAGGUAAUGUCCAUAACCAGUUGGCUCCAUCCAACACCAACGGUGAUGAAUCCAGGUUUGUCUGAGGGCCAGAGCCACCCAUAGCACCCAGGCUAUUGUCCUCUGUGCAAGGGUUGGCCCUAAGGAGCUUUUCCUAAAUACAGAAGAUAUUUGGGGCCGGGGCACUGUUCAUCACCCAUUGCAAAGAAACACCAUUGCAAACAAAUAAAAUUAACAAAUGGUGAAAGAUAAAUUGAAUUUUCCACCUGGAAUGGGAGCGUCAGGGGGUGACACAGUGAAUGAGUGGCAUCACUCCUUCCCAGCACUGUCCAUAGAGCUGUAUAUUCAGUGUAAACAUGUAGGGAGUGCUUAUAAACCCUCACCUUGGGUGCGUGCAAGGGCUGCUUGAAGGGGGAGGAAGAGGGAAACUUGUCCUGGGCAGGGAGCAGAAUAGGAUGUGGGAGGGAGAGAUAAAGGGUGCGAGAGCUAUCAGCUCCAUCCGGGACAGAGUGGGGAUGGGGUUGGAGCAUCUGUUCAGCAGCGAUGGGGUUGGCAGCAGAUAACACCCAACGCCUCAGCUGUGGGGCUCUGCACACCCUGAAGGGGACUGCCAAAGUCAUAAGGAUGGAGGGGAAUGGUGUUGUCCUCCUGCUCAUGGCAUGGCUGUGGCAUGCUGCAGCUGUAUUCACCUUCAGCAUAGCCUGUAAAUGAUGUAUAUGUGUACAUAUGCCACCUUCAGCAUAGCCUGUAAAUGAUAUACAUGUGUAUUUAUACCAUCUUCAAUAUUGCCUAUUAAUGAUAUAUAUUUAUGUAUAUAUAAAUAUACACUUAUUUAUAUA